UAGGGAAUCUUCGGCAAUGGACGAAAGUCUGACCGAGCAACGCCGCGUGAGUGAAGAAGGUUUUCGGAUCGUAAAACUCUGUUGUUAGAGAAGAACGUUGCAUAGAGUGGAAAAUUAUGCAAGUGACGGUAUCUAACCAGAAAGGGACGGCUAACUACGUGCCAGCAGCCGCGGUAAUACGUAGGUCCCGAGCGUUGUCCGGAUUUAUUGGGCGUAAAGCGAGCGCAGGUGGUUUAAUAAGUCUGAUGUAAAAAGGCAGUGGCUCAACCAUUGUGUGCAUUGGAAACUGUUAGACUUGAGUGCAGUAGAGGAGAGUGGAAUUCCAUGUGUAGCGGUGAAAUGCGUAGAUAUAUGGAGGAACACCGGUGGCGAAAAGCGGCUCUCUGGACUGUCACUGACACUGAGGCUCGAAAGCGUGGGUAGCAAACAGGAUUAGAUACCCUGGUAGUCCACGCCGUAAACGAUGAGUGCUAGUUGUUU
rnacentral:rRNA from 1 species